AUUGAACGCUGGCGGCAUGCCUUACACAUGCAAGUCGAACGGCAGCACGGGAGCAAUCCUGGUGGCGAGUGGCGAACGGGUGAGUAAUAUAUCGGAACGUGCCCGGUCGUGGGGGAUAACGUAGCGAAAGCUACGCUAAUACCGCAUACGAUCUACGGAUGAAAGCGGGGGAUCGCAAGACCUCGCGCGAUUGGAGCGGCCGAUAUCAGAUUAGGUAGUUGGUGAGGUAAAGGCUCACCAAGCCGACGAUCUGUAGCUGGUCUGAGAGGACGACCAGCCACACUGGAACUGAGACACGGUCCAGACUCCUACGGGAGGCAGCAGUGGGGAAUUUUGGACAAUGGACGCAAGUCUGAUCCAGCCAUUCCGCGUGCAGGAUGAAGGCCCUCGGGUUGUAAACUGCUUUUGUACGGAACGAAAAGGUUUCUAUUAAUACUAGGAGCUCAUGACGGUACCGUAAGAAUAAGACACGGCUAACUACGUGCCAGCAG
rnacentral:rRNA from 1 species